AUUGAACGCUGGCGGCAUGCCUUACACAUGCAAGUCGAACGGCAGCGGGGGAGAAGCUUGCUUUUCCUGCCGGCGAGUGGCGAACGGGUGAGUAAUACAUCGGAACGUGCCCUGUAGUGGGGGAUAACUAGUCGAAAGAUUAGCUAAUACCGCAUACGACCUGAGGGUGAAAGUGGGGGACCGCAAGGCCUCAUGCUAUAGGAGCGGCCGAUGUCUGAUUAGCUAGUUGGUGGGGUAAAGGCCUACCAAGGCGACGAUCAGUAGCUGGUCUGAAAGGACGAGCAGCCACACUGGGACUGAGACACGGCCCAGACUCCUACGGGAGGCAGCAGUGGGGAAUUUUGGACAAUGGGCGAAAGCCUGAUCCAGCAAUGCCGCGUGUGUGAAGAAGGCCUUCGGGUUGUAAAGCACUUUUGUCCGGAAAGAAAUGGCUCUGGUUAAUACCUGGGGUCGAUGACGGUACCGGAAGAAUAAGGACCGGCUAACUACGUGCCAGCCGCCGCGGUAA
rnacentral:rRNA from 1 species